rnacentral:rRNA from 1 species
AGGGCACCACCAGGAGUGGAGCCUGCGGCUUAAUUUGACUCAACACGGGGAAACUCACCCGGCCCGGACACUGGAAGGAUUGACAGACUGAGAGCUCUUUCUUGAUUUGGUGGGUGGUGGUGCAUGGCCGUUCUUAGUUGGUGGAGUGAUUUGUCUGCUUAAUUGCGAUAACGAACGAGACUCCCGCCUACUUAAUACGUUCACGGGGUGGUCGUGCUUGCUGUGGGGGGCGCUCACGCGCUCUCCGCUCUCGCGCGGCCCUCAACCGUGAGACUUCUUAGAGGGACUGGCGGUGUUUUAGCCGCACGAAGUUUGGAGCAAUAACAGGUCUGUGAUGCCCUUAGAUGUCCGGGGCCGCACGCGCGCAACACUGAAAGGUGAAGCGUGUUAGUUUCUCACUUCGCGUGGGAGGCCUGCGCCGAAAGGCGUGGGGAACCCGUGCAACCCCUUUCGUGAUGGGGAUAGGGGCUUGUAAUUGUUGCCCUUGAACGAGGAAUUCCUAGUAGGCGCGAUUCAUCC